rnacentral:rRNA from 1 species
AUUGCUCUAGUAACGGCGAGUGAAGCAGCAAUAGCUCAAAUUUGAAAUCUGGCGUCUUCGACGUCCGAGUUGUAAUUUGUAGAGGAUGCUUCUGAGUAACCACCGACCUAAGUUCCUUGGAACAGGACGUCAUAGAGGGUGAGAAUCCCGUAUGCGGUCGGAAAGGUGCUCUAUACGUAGCUCCUUCGACGAGUCGAGUUGUUUGGGAAUGCAGCUCUAAAUGGGAGGUAAAUUUCUUCUAAAGCUAAAUAUUGGCCAGAGACCGAUAGCGCACAAGUAGAGUGAUCGAAACAUGAAAAGCACUUUGGAAAGAGAGUUAAAAAGCACGUGAAAUUGUUAAAAGGGAAGGGAUUGCAACCAGACUUGCUCGCGGUGUUCCGCCGGUCUUCUGACCGGUCUACUCGCCGCGUUGCAGGCCAGCAUCGUCUGGUGCCGCUGGAUAAGACUUGAGGAAUGUAGCUCCCUCGGGAGUGUUAUAGCCUCUUGUGAUGCAGCGAGCGCCGGGCGAGGUCCGCGCUUCGGCUAGGAUGCUGGCGUAAUGGUCGUAAUUCGCCCGUCUUGAAACACGGACCAAGGAGUCUAACAUCUAUGCGAGUGUUCGGGUGUCAAACCCCUACGCGUAAUGAAAGUGAACGGAGGUGAGAACCGCAAGGUGCAUCAUCGACCGAUCCUGAUGUCUUCGGAUGGAUUUGAGUAAGA